rnacentral:rRNA from 1 species
UGGGGAAUUUUGCACAAUGGGCGCAAGCCUGAUGCAGCGACGCCGCGUGAGCGAUGAAGGCUUUCGAGUCGUAAAGCUCUGUUCUAUGGGAAGAUAAUGACGGUACCAUAGAAGAAAGCCCCGGCUAAUUACGUGCCAGCAGCCGCGGUAAUACGUAAGGGGCGAGCGUUGUCCGGAAUUAUUGGGCGUAAAGAGUGCGUAGGCGGCAAAUUAAGUCAGAUGUAAAAACUAAGGGCUCAACCCAUAGAUUGCAUCUGAAACUGAAAUGCUUGAGUCAAGGAGAGGAAGGUGGAAUUCCUAGUGAAGCGGUGAAAUGCGUAGAUAUUAGGAGGAAUACCGGUGGCGAAGGCGACUUUCUGGACUUGAACUGACGCUGAGGCACGAAAGCGUGGGGAGCAAACAGG